GACGAACGCUGGCGGCGUGCUUAACACAUGCAAGUCGAACGGAAAGGCCCUGCUUUUGUGGGGUGCUCGAGUGGCGAACGGGUGAGUAACACGUGAGUAACCUGCCCUUGACUUUGGGAUAACUUCAGGAAACUGGGGCUAAUACCGGAUAGGAGCUCCUGCUGCAUGGUGGGGGUUGGAAAGUUUCGGCGGUUGGGGAUGGACUCGCGGCUUAUCAGCUUGUUGGUGUGGUAGUGGCUUACCAAGGCUUUGACGGGUAGCCGGCCUGAGAGGGUGAACGGGCACAUUGGGACUGAGAUACGGACCAGACUCCUACGGGAGGCAGCAGUGGGGAAUAUUGCAGAAUGGGCGGAAGCCUGAUGCAGCAACGCCGCGUGCGGGAUGCUGGCCUUCGGGUUGUAAACCGCUUUGGCAUGUGACGAAGCGUGCGUGACGGUAAUGGGUAAAGAAGCACCGGCUAACUACGUG
rnacentral:rRNA from 1 species